UUUCCGUAGGUGAACCUGCGGAAGGAUCAUUAUCAUGUAAUUCAGUCCCCUUGGCUGUGUUAUAUAUAUACCCACUCUGUGUACCUUCUCCUGUUGCUUCCGCUGGGUGUAUAAUUCGCCCGGCGGAAGGGUAAAAAUAACCUCUGAGUAUUGAUGAAAUCUCUGUCUGAACCGAAUAGAAAGAAAAAUGUUAAAACUUUCAGCAACGGAUCUCUUGGUUCUC
rnacentral:misc_RNA from 1 species